GAGUUCGAAUCUCGCCGGUGCCUCUUUUUUACACGGGGCAUUUUUUUUUCAGAGCGCCGCUGGUGAAAUGGUAUAAUGCAAGAUUCCCAUUC